rnacentral:RNase_P_RNA from 2 species
CGAGUAAGUCAGACAAUCGCUGCUAGAUUUGUUUCUAGGAGAGGAAAGUCCGGGCAUUGCAGGGCAGGGUGCUGGGUAACUCCCAGUCAAGGUGACUUGAAGGAAAGUGCAACAGAGAUAUACCGCCUAGAUUUAUCUAGGUAAGGGUGGAAAGGUGAGGUAAGAGCUCACCAGCGCAUUGGUGACUUUGCGGCUAUGUAAACCCCACUUGAUGCAAGACCGAAUAGAGAGGCAUAUGGGGCUGCCCGUCCCGCCUCCGGGUGUGUCGCUUGAGCUUAGUUGGUAACACUAGGCCUAGAUAGAUGAUUGUCAAAUACAGAACCCGGCUUAUAGAUUUGUCUCGUGCA